CCCUCGUCCAACAGAUCGCCAUUCGAAGCUCACAAACAGAGACACUCUCUGAGCGUCUCAACCCUCUUGCUUUGGGAGAAAGUCCCCGGACACGUCUUCUCCUCACGGAAGGACAUUGCGGAAACGCGCCGCCACAGAAGCACUGCGGCUGACCUCCCGGCCCUGUCCUCAGUCAGUCCUCCUCUGCCCUGCCCCGCCGCUACAUCGGUCAGGCUUUUCUCGCUCGGAGUCUAGUCGGGUAGCCUUGAGACCUCAUGGACGAAGAUAUGAGUCCGCGCUCUUGGCCGCUUGAUCGGAUCCUCCGUGAGAGGAAGGUCUGUUCGAUGGCGGGGUAGUCGUGGGUGUCGAUGCGUGCUGUGGGCGCCAAGGGGCCCGGGAGGGUUUUUCGUCGAGCACGAUAGAUAUGCGAUCGCCCGGCCUCACCAGCUGGGAGUACUCGAUGGGGCUCAUUCUUGGCGCGAGG
rnacentral:RNase_MRP_RNA from 2 species